CUGCUUUCCAGGGCAAAUAAGCAGAGAGCUGGAUCAGAAGUGGAGAAUUGGUCACAGACUAGUGCUCACAUGGGAUGCGGGCAUGGCAGAUGACGGCUUUACCUACCAAGCUUCAUCAACUCCAUGAUACAUGUUAUCUUCCAGCAUUAUGGUAUGCUUUAUACCAGCUCACUCUUCAGUUGGUAAGAAUUAAGUGUUUGGUGGGAGUAUGACGAUAUUUGUAUACAGAAUGCAGAAGAUCCAGGCUCUACCCUCCUGAAAUGUAAGGCGCAGCAUGGCAGAAAAACAAAAGCACUCAAUUUCCAGUUGUACUUUUACAAGGUUCUUAAAACAGCAGAGAAAACUUGUAAUUUUGGAACUGAAAGGCCCUUACAGGUGACCUGGUCUAAUUCCCUCAUUUCACAAGUAAAGUCAACUGGGGUUAGCAGAGGUUAAAAGACUUGUUAACUUCAAACCUAUGUGCCCACAACAGUCUUCCUUCCACUAUGAUAGUAUGUUUUGCACUGAAGAAUGUACUGUUGGGGCCGGCACUGUGGCAUAGCAGGGAAAACUGCCAUCUGCAGUGCCAGCAUCCCAUAUGGGUGCCGGAUCUAGUCCUGGCUGCUCCACUUCUGAUCCCGCUCCCUGCUAAUGUGCCUGGGAAAGCAGCAGAUGGCCCAAAAACUUGGGCCCCCACACCCAAUUGGGAGAUCCAGAAGAAGCCCCUGGCUCCUGGCUUCUGAUUGGCCCAGCUAUGGCAGUUUGUGGAGUGAACCAGCAGAUGGAAGAUCUCUCUCUCUCUGUAACUCUACCUUUCAAGUAAAUGCAUAAAUCUUAAAAACAACAACACACACAAAAAAGGUACUAUUAAGGGGACCUAGAACAAAAACUUCUUAGAUUAGAUCAUUUAAUAGAAGUCACCAACAUGUAUUGAUUUGUUAGUAUAUGACAGGCAUUCUGCUGAGCACUGUAAUUUUUUUUUAAGUUUUAUUUUAUUUUGUAUGAAAGGUACAGUUAGAUGGAGGGAGAUACAGAGAGACUGAGAUCUUCCAUCUGCUGGUACAUUCCCGCAAACGGCCAUGGCUGGGCCAGGCCAAAGCCAGGAGCUAGAAGCUUCGUAGUGGGGGGGGUCUCCCACACUGGUACAGGGGCCCAAGGACUUGGGCCAUCUUCCCCUCCUUCCCAGGUGCACUAACAGGAAGCUGGAUGGGAAGCAGAGCAGUUGAGAUUCAAACAAGCACCAAUAUGGUUGUCAGCACCGCAAGCAGCAGCUUAACCCACUGUGCCACUACACUAGCCCCUGUAUUUUAAUCCUUAAAACAAUUUUGGGUAGGUACUGGUAGCCAGCUAUUAACAGUUCUACCUUAAUGUCAAACUAAGUUUAGAGAGGCUAAGUAAUCUAGCUGCCCACUACAAACAACUAGAAAGUUGAAGAGCUAGAAUGGAAUCCAAGUGUACUUUGGUUCUAAACUGAUCACACUUUAUGUUAGCAGGAAGCUAUACUUGAUAAUACUUUUCUAUCUCUGUAGCCUAUGCCACUAUAACACAAUCAUUGGAAUCUUUAAAUAACAAAUAAUAAAUUUUGUUUCUUGGUUCCUAGCCACUGAAUAGGAGCCUUUAAUGUACAUGUCCUUCUAAAUCACACACACGCAAACACACACAGAAACUAGAAAAAAGGGUAGAAGGCAGGCUACACUUGCCUUUUUACUUUACAGUAAAACUUCCUCUAGAGUAGGUGUCAAGGACAUUAACCUCCAAUGCGUUUCACAUUUGGCUAGGGAAAAGGCAGUAUCUCUUAGAUGUUCCUUUUCCUGGCUCCUUCUUCACCUUAACAUGUUCCAUCACUUAUUAUCCCAAAAAGAUAACUGCCAUUGACCUUUGAAGCUCUGCUUUACAGAAUCAACAAAGAGUGAAGAGUUCUAAUUUCAUGUAGUUACUCUAUAACUCCUAUAUGUUUUACAAUUCUCCCACACAUAAAAUCAAAGCAAUUCUUUUUUUUUUUUUUUUUUUGGACAGGUAGAGUUUACAGACAGUGUGAGAGACAGAAAGAGAGAAAGGUCUUCCUUCCGUUGGUUCACUUUCCAAAUGGCCGCAACAGCCAGAGCUACGCUGAUCCGAAGCCAGGAGCCAGGAGUUUCUUCCUGGUCUCCCAUGUGGGUGCAGGGGCCCAAGCACCUGGGCCAUCCUCCACUGCUAUCCCAGGCCACAGCAGAGAGCUGGACUGUAAGAGGAGCAACCGGGACUAGAACCCAGCACCCAUAUGGGAUGCCAGUGCUGCAGGCGGAGGAUUAACCUAGUGCACCACGGCGCCGGCCCCUACAAUUCACUUCUUAAAAUUGUGGUCUGAUAGUCUAAAUAGUGCCUGAGAUAGAAAGAUUAAUACAUUGCUGUUCCUGAAGAGGUCAGUCUACUAUCACUGUAUAAUCUCUUCUACUCAUUGUCUUUCCCCACUCCCCUUAAAAAAAAAAUAAAAAAGAGAAAUAUACUAAUGUUUUACUGCCUUUCCAGAAAAUCCUAUUAAUAUGACAUUACUCUUUCUCUGUGAGAGCUCUGCAAUCCCUUUUAGUAUGAUGAAAAUAGAACCACAUGAGGAGUAUCUUUUCUUGCUUUAAAAACCAAUUUAUUGAUAAUGGUAAUCAUUUCACAAGUAUGUAUAUAGCAAACCAUAUUGUAUACAACUUAAAAUAGAUACAAUUUUGUCAAUUAUAUUUCAAUAAAGCUGGAAAAAAGAUAAAAGUUUA